UACGUAGGGUGCGAGCGUUAAUCGGAAUUACUGGGCGUAAAGCGUGCGCAGGCGGUUUCGUAAGUCAGAUGUGAAAUCCCCGGGCUUAACCUGGGAACUGCGUUUGAAACUACAAGGCUAGAGUGUGGCAGAGGGGGGUGGAAUUCCACGUGUAGCAGUGAAAUGCGUAGAGAUGUGGAGGAACACCGAUGGCGAAGGCAGCCCCCUGGGUUAACACUGACGCUCAGGCACGAAAGCGUGGGGAGCAAACAGG
rnacentral:rRNA from 1 species